rnacentral:lncRNA from 1 species
CUAUUUAACUAGCUUUUAGCCCUCUAAACUGGGUCGUUUUUGUAUCAAAUUCAAUUUAGCUUUGUUUGUCAAAUUUGUCUGGGGGUGCAUAACAAUCGCAGAAAAGCUCCAUUGUCUAUUGAAACGGUGUCAAAUGAUAGCUCUAGUCACACUGGAACAGACCAUGUGGGCUACAUUACUGAGAAUGUCCUAUUUAACUAGCUUUUAGCCCUCUAAACUGGGUCGUUUUUGUAGCAAAUUCAAUUUAGCUUUGUUUGUCAAAUUUGUCUGAGGGUGCA